UACAGAGGGGCAAGCGUUAUUCGGAAUUAUUGGGCGUAAAGGGCGCGUAGGCGGCCUGGCAAGUGGAAGGUGAAAUCCCUCGGCUUAACCGAGGAACUGCCCUCCAAACUGCUUGGCUUGAGACCGGGAGAGGUGAGUGGAAUUCCCAGUGUAGCGGUGAAAUGCGUAGAUAUCGAGAGGAACACCGGUGGCGAAGGCGGCGAUCUGGACGAAUGACUGACGCUGAGGCGCGAAAGCUAGGGGAGCAAACAGG
rnacentral:rRNA from 1 species